UACGAAGGGUGCAAACGUUGCUCGGAAUUAUUGGGCGUAAAGCGCACGUAGGCGGCUCGGCAAGUCGGAUGUGAAAUCCCUCGGCUCAACCAAGGAAGUGCAUCCGAAACUGCUGAGCUUGAGUACUUAAGAGGAUCGCGGAAUUCCCGGUGUAGAGGUGAAAUUCGUAGAUAUCAGGAGGAACACCAGUGGCGAAGGCGGCUUCCUGGACACCAACUGACGCUGAGACGCGAAAGCGUGGGGAGCAAACAGG
rnacentral:rRNA from 1 species